rnacentral:rRNA from 1 species
GACGAACGCUGGCGGCGUGCUUAACACAUGCAAGUCGAACGGAGCGAAUGAAAGCUUGCUUUUAUGAGCUUAGUGGCAAACGGGUGAGUAACACGUAGACAACCUGCCGACAGGAUGGGGACAACAUUCCGAAAGGAAUGCUAAUACCGAAUGAAGUGUAGGGGAGGCAUCUCCCCUGCAUGAAAGAUGGCCUCUGAAUAUGCUAUCACCUGUCGAUGGGUCUGCGUCUGAUUAGCUGGUUGGUGAGGUAACGGCUCACCAAGGCGACGAUCAGUAGCCGGUCUGAGAGGAUGAACGGCCACAUUGGGACUGAGACACGGCCCAGACUCCUACGGGAGGCAGCAGUGGGGAAUCUUCCGCAAUGGGCGCAAGCCUGACGGAGCAACGCCGCGUGAGUGAAGAAGGUCUUCGGAUCGUAAAGCUCUGUUGAUGGGGACGAACGUGCGAAGGGUGAAUAAUCCUUUGCAAUGACGGUACCUAUCGAGGAAGCCAC